UGAUUUCAAGUAUAGAAUUUAAAUCUUUAUUGACGGCUUUUUGUAUGAUAGUGUUUUGCAUGAUAAUCCUUUGUAUAAGGAAGGGUGAUGGUGGCUCCGAUUGGACUUGAACCAACGGCCACUACCA
rnacentral:antisense_RNA from 1 species